rnacentral:rRNA from 1 species
UUCCGGUUGAUCCUGCCGGAGGCCACUGCUAUUGGGAUCCGACUAAGCCAUGCGAGUCGAGAGGGUUCGGCCCUCGGCAGACUGCUCAGUAACACGUGGAUAACCUACCCUUAGGUGGAGGAUAAUCUCGGGAAACUGAGAAUAAUACUCCAUAUAUCUAGGAUGCUGGAAUGCACCUAGAUUGAAAGCUCUGGCGCCUAAGGAUGGGUCUGCGGACUAUCAGGUUGUAGUCAGGGUAAAGACCUGACUAGCCUACGACGGAUAUGGGUUGUGAGAGCAAUAGCCCAGAGACGAUAUCUGAGACACGAUAUCGGGCCCUACGGGGCGCAGCAGGCGCGAAAUCUUCACAAUGUGCGAAAGCACGAUGAGGGGAUCCCAAGUGCUGGCACGUAAGUGUCAGCUGUUUCUUUGUCUAAAAAACAAAGAGAGUAAGAGCUGGGUAAGACGGGUGCCAGCCGCCGCGGUAAUACCUGCAGCUCAAGUGGUGGCCGCUAUUAUUGGGCCUAAAACGUCCGUAGCCGGUUUAGUAAAUGCUUGGGUAAAUUGUGUAGCUUAACUAUACGAAUACCGGGUAGACUGCUAAACUUGGGACCGGGAGAGGCUAGAGGUACUCCUAGGGUAGAGGUGAAAUUCUGUAAUCCUAGGGGGACCACCAGUGGCGAAGGCGUCUAGCUAGAACGGGUCUGACGGUGAGGGACGAAGCCCUGGGGCGCAAACCGGAUUAGAUACCCGGGUAGUCCAGGGUGUAAACGCUGCUUGCUUGAUGUUAGUCGGGCUCCGAGCCCGAUUAGUGUCGGAGAGAAGUUGUUAAGCAAGCUGCCUGGGAAGUACGGCGCAAGACUGAAACUUAAAGGAAUUGGCGGGGGAGCACAGCAACGGUGGAGCGUGCGUUUAUUGGACUCAACGCGGUAAUC